UACGUAGGGGCGAGCGUUGUCCGGAUUUAUUGGGCGUAAAGAGCGUGUAGGCGGUUCGGUAAGUCUGUCGUGAAAUCCUGAGGCUCAACCUUGGACGUGCGAUGGAUACUGCCGGGCUAGAGGAUGGUAGAGGCGAGUGGAAUUCCCGGUGUAGCGGUGAAAUGCGCAGAUAUCGGGAGGAACACCAGUAGCGAAGGCGGCUCGCUGGGCCAUUCCUGACGCUGAGGUGCGAAAGCGUGGGGAGCAAACAGG
rnacentral:rRNA from 1 species